rnacentral:rRNA from 1 species
CAGUCGCCGCGGGAAUACGAAGGGGGCUAGCGUUGCUCGGAAUCACUGGGCGUAAAGGGUGCGUAGGCGGGUCUUUAAGUCAGGGGUGAAAUCCUGGAGCUCAACUCCAGAACUGCCUUUGAUACUGAAGAUCUUGAGUAUGGGAGAGGUGAGUGGAACUGCGAGUGUAGAGGUGAAAUUCGUAGAUAUUCGCAAGAACACCAGUGGCGAAGGCGGCUCACUGGCCCAUAACUGACGCUGAGGCACGAAAGCGUGGGGAGCAAACAGGAUUAGAUACCCGGGUAGUCCCUGUCUCUUAUAA